rnacentral:rRNA from 1 species
AGAUUGAACGCUGGCGGCAUGCCUUACACAUGCAAGUCGAACGGCAGCACGGGGGCAACCCUGGUGGCGAGUGGCGAACGGGUGAGUAAUGCAUCGGAACGUGCCCAGUAGUGGGGGAUAACUAGUCGAAAGAUUAGCUAAUACCGCAUACGACCUAUGGGUGAAAGCGGGGGAUUCGCAAGAACCUCGCGCUAUCGGAGCGGCCGAUGUCUGAUUAGCUAGUUGGCGGGUAAAAGCCCACCAAGGCUUCGAUCAGUAGCUGGUCUGAGAGGACGACCAGCCACACUGGGACUGAGACACGGCCCAGACUCCUACGGGAGCAGCAGGUGGGAAUUUUGGACAAGUGGGCGCAAGCCUGACUCCGAGCCAUCG